CCUAACGUCGCAGAUCAACAAACGUCACCAUUGGCUAAUGAAUCUGUCAAUCAAAUAUAUGAUUCUGCCAGGGCUGUUCGCUUUCAGCCAAUCAUAUGGCUUCUUAUAUUACGGAACAGAUCUGCUGUGCGCAUGCGUAUUGCAGUUCACACGGCAGAGCGGGAUGGACCGGUCACAAUCUGAAUCAUUGAGGCGUGACAUCCUUCAGAGGUUUUACGAUCGACUGUCAAGCAUCUUGGAGAGGCAACCUGUUGAUUGGGAAGGGCUAUAGUUUGCUUGUCACCAUUAUUUAGUUUUAUUAGGUGCUCUAGGUGACAUUGAUGUGGGAGGGAGAGGAUAUACUUUCUGCUCUUUCCGAUCUGAAUACUAUUAUCCAGCAGGAAAGAGAUAAUCAAAAGACAUUAAUAACAGUACACGUUGAAAGAGGUUCUCGUGGCCGUCAACGAUUGGCGGUGUCGCGAGAGGCUCUCGAACACCUUGUGGAAAUGGGUCUGCCAACAAGUGUCAUUACCAAACUCCUUGGUGUAUCCAGAGCAACUCUAUUUAGACGGAUGUCUGAAAAUAAUAUAUUUAUUUAUAUAUUUGUAUCUGCCACAUGCAGUAAAUGCAGUGAUGAGGAACUAGAUUAUUUUAUCACAGUAAUUAAGAGCAACAUGCCAGAUGCUGGGUACAGGGUAGUCCGAGGUGCUCUACUUGCCCAGGGACAUAGAGUACAGUGGGACCGACUGUAUGCAUCCAUGCAUCGUGUGGACAGUGCGGGUGUACUUGCUCGAAUGACACAUCUCGGAUGUGUAGUGAGAAGGACGUACACAGUUCCUUGCCCAAAGUAUAUGGUGCACAUUGACACCAAUCACAAGCUCAUCAGGUAAUGUCUGUGUGUAAUUGGAGAUGUUAUUUUUUGUUUUGGGAGUUACAUUUUUAAUUGUCUGUGUUUUAACCGAGACACAGCCAUAAAAACACCGUCCGCCACGUUCUUUCCACUGCUGGUGUCUGACAUCAUCUCACGUCGCCAUUUGUAGUUCUCAAAUGGACUACAAAACACAUACGUACGCACAAGCAAUAAUACAUUUUGUUUUUGAAAGUAAAUGAGUACAAUCUUAGUCAUUACAUUUUGAAAUCUAUUGCUAAAGGUAUUUUUUCAUUCAUUCACUUUUUUCACUGUGAAAAUGAGGAAAACAAAAAAAGGUCGAUUAAGAACAAAAUUGUGUUUAAUAUUUCAAGAGUGCAAUUUAAAACUAUAAAACACUGGAACCCCAGGAAACUGCAGGCUUGUUUAAAAUAAAUAAAUAAAUACAAAGUACAGCUCACCACUUAAACCAAAAAAUUUAACAUUUUUGAUGCUUUUUAUUAUUAUACUCACCUUGAUGAUAUAUUUUUAAAGCAUUAAAGAUGUUUAUUAUACAUGAGGUUUAGUUAAACUCGUAUCUAAUGUAUUUCAAAUUUCUAUAUUUUGACCACAAACACUUGGUGCAUCAAACUAUAGCACUUAAAGGUUUUGACAUUCAGCAGUUUCUUUUUGAUUGAGAGAAAAUUGGUAGUGUCAUUAAGAUAGUAUAGAAACAUAUUUAUCAUUUCAGUAAAUAUGUAUUUUAAUGGUAAUGGAACAAAACAUUUCUGCAUUUUAAAUGACUUAAGUAGUUUCUUUGUAUUGUUUAAUCUUGACAAAGCAGAAUGUUUUUGUUCUCUUCGAUGAUGGUUUAUUUUAUUUUCAUUUCCAUGAUGUGACUUGAGUUGAAGUAGAAAAAAUUUAGUAUUUUACUUUAUAAUAUAUUAUGAAAAUUGAAUUUGAAGAAGACAUGUAGUAAUAAAGUGACCCAUUAGUAUUACAGUAAGUUGAGGAAUAGCGUUCGAACAAAGUGAAAGAUUCAUGUUGAAUUAAAAUGUUUGAAGAGCUCAAAUUACUUAAUGACAACAUGUUUCUAUCAAUUUGUAUUAACACAGAAUAUACAUGUUUGUUUAAAGUGAAAAACUUGUUCAUUCCACUCAAACGUUUUACUUGCAAUUAAAGCAAAACAAUUGUGUGCAACCACUUUCCAUAAUUGAAUUAAGUAAAUCAUACAAGUAAUUUUUUUUUUCAGUGUAGCUCCUUCGAGUCUCUGGGAGUAAAAGCAGAGCUAUGGAUGAAGACAUUGGUCAACAGCCCAUAUCCUUUCCUUACUGAGAGAAGUAACUUUGGCUGUGAAGAUCAGCUGGGGUUGCUUUUUGUUGUUUUUUUGUUUCUCAUUCACAAACUUCCUCAAUUGACAACUGGAAGCUUUAGAAUUCAUGCUUCCAGGAAACCGGUAUUGGACGAGCGUGAAACUUUUCAUCUUUUAGAGUAGAACUGAGGAAGCUUCUUAAAUGAGACAGGACAUGUAUGUCUUUGUGACAGAACUGAAUGUUUAGGUACCUCUGGUGGGUUGUAAUCUGUUUGAUCUGUGUCUUUAAUCUGUAUUUGGAUCAUCUGAACAUGUUUUGGCCUUAACCUUUUCCACGUUUUGGGACCUGCUCAAGGUGCUUGUAAUCCUUACCAGCAUUGUGAGCGUGAGCCCCGGUGAGGAGCCCCUGCACCUGAAGGUCAUCAACAUCAGCUGCUUCACCUUCGUUUCUGACACGGUCCUGAAGGUGGCGUCGCUGGGCAUCUGCAGGGAGCGGGGUCACCUUUGUAGCAUCUGGAACCGGGUGGAGUUAUCUGUCUUGAUUAUUGAGAUCGUGGACUG